rnacentral:rRNA from 1 species
GGUUAAGCGACUAAGCGUACACGGUGGAUGCCCUGGCAGUCAGAGGCGAUGAAGGACGUGCUAAUCUGCGAUAAGCGCCGGUAAGGUGAUAUGAACCGUUAUAACCGGCGAUACCCGAAUGGGGAAACCCAGUGUGACUCGUCACACUAUCAUUAACUGAAUCCAUAGGUUAAUGAGGCGAACCGGGGGAACUGAAACAUCUAAGUACCCCGAGGAAAAGAAAUCAACCGAGAUUCCCCCAGUAGCGGCGAGCGAACGGGGAGGAGCCCAGAGCCUGAAUCAGCAUGUGUGUUAGUGGAAGCGUCUGGAAAGGCGCGCGAUACAGGGUGACAGCCCCGUACACAAAAGCGCAUGUGCUGUGAGCUCGAUGAGUAGGGCGGGACACGUGGUAUCCUGUCUGAAUAUGGGGGGACCAUCCUCCAAGGCUAAAUACUCCUGACUGACCGAUAGUGAACCAGUACCGUGAGGGAAAGGCGAAAAGAACCCCGGCGAGGGGAGUGAAAAAGAACCUGAAACCGUGUACGUACAAGCAGUGGGAGCACAGGUUUACCUGUGUGACUGCGUACCUUUUGUAUAAUGGGUCAGCGACUUAUAUUCUGUAGCAAGGUUAACCGAAUAGGGGAGCCGGAGGGAAACCGAGUCUUAAUUGGGCGUUAAGUUGCAGGGUAUAGACCCGAAACCCGGUGAUCUAGCCAUGGGCAGGUUGAAGGUUGGGUAACACUAACUGGAGGACCGAACCGACUAAUGUUGAAAAAUUAGCGGAUGACCUGUGGCUGGGGGUGAAAGGCCAAUCAAACCGGGAGAUAGCUGGUUCUCCCCGAAAGCUAUUUAGGUAGCGCCUCGUGAAUUCAUCUCCGGGGGUAGAGCACUGUUUCGGCUAGGGGGCCAUCCCGGCUUACCAACCCGAUGCAAACUGCGAAUACCGGAGAAUGUUAUCACGGGAGACACACGGCGGGUGCUAACGUCCGUCGUGAAGAGGGAAACAACCCAGACCGCCAGCUAAGGUCCCAAAGUCAUGGUUAAGUGGGAAACGAUGUGGGAAGGCCCAGACAGCCAGGAUGUUGGCUUAGAAGCAGCCAUCAUUUAAAGAAAGCGUAAUAGCUCACUGGUCGAGUCGGCCUGCGCGGAAGAUGUAACGGGGCUAAACCAUGCACCGAAGCUGCGGCAGCGAACGUAUCACUUAAAGCGAUUCAGCGGGUUACGAUUGACGGAGCGAAGCGACGUCAAAGCGUAUACAAAGUCGAGUCGGUUUAAGGAUACGUUCGUUGGGUAGGGGAGCGUUCUGUAAGCCUGUGAAGGUGUGUCGUGAGGCAUGCUGGAGGUAUCAGAAGUGCGAAUGCUGACAUAAGUAACGAUAAAGCGGGUGAAAAGCCCGCUCGCCGGAAGACCAAGGGUUCCUGUCCAACGUUAAUCGGGGCAGGGUGAGUCGACCCCUAAGGCGAGGCCGAAAGGCGUAGUCGAUGGGAAACGGGUUAAUAUUCCCGUACUUGGUGUUACUGCGAAGGGGGGACGGAGAAGGCUAUGUUGGCCGGGCGACGGUUGUCCCGGUUUAAGCGUGUAGGUGUGUGUUCCAGGUAAAUCCGGUUCACUUUAACACUGAGGCGUGAUGACGAGGCACUACGGUGCUGAAGCAACAAAUGCCCUGCUUCCAGGAAAAGCCUCUAAGCAUCAGGUAACAUCAAAUCGUACCCCAAACCGACACAGGUGGUCAGGUAGAGAAUACCAAGGCGCUUGAGAGAACUCGGGUGAAGGAACUAGGCAAAAUGGUGCCGUAACUUCGGGAGAAGGCACGCUGACACGUAGGUGAAGUGAUUUACUCAUGGAGCUGAAGUCAGUCGAAGAUACCAGCUGGCUGCAACUGUUUAUUAAAAACACAGCACUGUGCAAACACGAAAGUGGACGUAUACGGUGUGACGCCUGCCCGGUGCCGGAAGGUUAAUUGAUGGGGUCAGCGCAAGCGAAGCUCCUGAUCGAAGCCCCGGUAAACGGCGGCCGUAACUAUAACGGUCCUAAGGUAGCGAAAUUCCUUGUCGGGUAAGUUCCGACCUGCACGAAUGGCGUAAUGAUGGCCAGGCUGUCUCCACCCGAGACUCAGUGAAAUUGAACUCGCUGUGAAGAUGCAGUGUACCCGCGGCAAGACGGAAAGACCCCGUGAACCUUUACUAUAGCUUGACACUGAACAUUGAGCCUUGAUGUGUAGGAUAGGUGGGAGGCUUUGAAGUGUGGACGCCAGUCUGCGUGGAGCCGACCUUGAAAUACCACCCUUUAAUGUUUGAUGUUCUAACGUGGACCCGUGAUCCGGGUUGCGGACAGUGUCUGGUGGGUAGUUUGACUGGGGCGGUCUCCUCCUAAAGAGUAACGGAGGAGCACGAAGGUUGGCUAAUCCUGGUCGGACAUCAGGAGGUUAGUGCAAUGGCAUAAGCCAGCUUGACUGCGAGCGUGACGGCGCGAGCAGGUGCGAAAGCAGGUCAUAGUGAUCCGGUGGUUCUGAAUGGAAGGGCCAUCGCUCAACGGAUAAAAGGUACUCCGGGGAUAACAGGCUGAUACCGCCCAAGAGUUCAUAUCGACGGCGGUGUUUGGCACCUCGAUGUCGGCUCAUCACAUCCUGGGGCUGAAGUAGGUCCCAAGGGUAUGGCUGUUCGCCAUUUAAAGUGGUACGCGAGCUGGGUUUAGAACGUCGUGAGACAGUUCGGUCCCUAUCUGCCGUGGGCGCUGGAGAACUGAGGGGGGCUGCUCCUAGUACGAGAGGACCGGAGUGGACGCAUCACUGGUGUUCGGGUUGUCAUGCCAAUGGCACUGCCCGGUAGCUAAAUGCGGAAGAGAUAAGUGCUGAAAGCAUCUAAGCACGAAACUUGCCCCGAGAUGAGUUCUCCCUGAGACUUAGAGUCUCCUGAAGGAACGUUGAAGACGACGACGUUGAUAGGCCGGGUGUGUAAGCGCAGCGAUGCGUUGAGCUAACCGGUACUAAUGAACCGUGAGGCUUAACCUU